GUGACCGUAGCUCAGCUGGUAGAGCACCGGGUUGUGGUCCCGGACGUCGCGGGUUCGAGCCCCGUCGGUCACC
rnacentral:tRNA from 1 species